rnacentral:rRNA from 1 species
ACGGAGGGUGCAAGCGUUAAUCGGAAUUACUGGGCGUAAAGCGUGCGUAGGUGGUUCGUUAAGUCCGUUGUGAAAGCCCCGAGCUCAACUUGGGAAUUGCAGUGGAUACUGGCGAGCUGGAGUGCGGUAGAGGGUAGUGGAAUUCCCGGUGUAGCAGUGAAAUGCGUAGAGAUCGGGAGGAACACCAGUGGCGAAGGCGGCUACCUGGACCAGCACUGACACUGAGGCACGAAAGCGUGGGGAGCAAACAGGA